rnacentral:lncRNA from 1 species
ACUCAGGUCACAGAAGCAGUAAGUUAGAAGUCUGUGGGGAACCUGAGACUGUGCUAUCCUGGUGUCUGCCCACCCAGCUGUUGAGAUGGAAGCCUCAGAUUGGCAAGGGGGUGAAGGAGACAAGCCACUAGAGAAGGUGAAGUGAGGCUGGGAUGUGAGGGAACCAGGGAAGGGCUGGUUUUGGAAAGCCACGAACAUGAAAUUCAAGGAAGGAGACAAGAUGAGAAAAUGGUGGAGUAUGUGGGUUGGCAAAAGCCCCAAAGAACAAGAGAACACAAUUCCUUCAGACAGUUGGGCCAGGGUGUAGCUCAGGAGUAGAGAGCUUGCCUGCCCUAGUCCUGGGUUUGACUCCCCAGAGCCGCAAAGCAGGGGUAAGCAAGUAGGAAACGUGUUUAUCAAAGCUGUGUUUCUGUCAAGACAGUGAGAAGUCCCAUUUGAUCAUUAGUUAUAAAGGGUUACCCAUGUCCAUGUGAGCACACGUAUGUGUUACGGUCUCUGUUCAGUUAUGUGCUGUGUUUAUGGAGUUAGCCAAAGUCCCCCACUCUCUACAGUUGGGGGGAACCUGUCCUGUACCUACUUUACCUAGCUUCCCUUCAGAGUGCUCUGAGUGUGGCUCUUCCUCUCCUGAACUCCAACGGCAAGUAAUCCAAUUGUUCUGAGAGGCUUUGAAAAUGUGAGUUUAACCCUAGCACUUAGGAGGCAGAGGCAGAUGGAGCUCUGUGAAUUCAAGACCAGCCUGGUCUACAGAGUGAGUUCCAGGACGGCUAGGGCUGCACAGAGAAAGUGGUUUCAUUGUUUGGGGGAGGAAAAAAAGCAAGCAAACAAAAAAUCCUAAACAACAAACAAAAAUCCCAAAACACAAGCAAACAAAAAUGAAAAAAGACAAGAAACUUUAAGUUUCAAACCCAGUUAACACCAGUCUAAUAAUCCUGUGCUAAAUCAGUAAUAUUUCAGACCCUUUGUCACCACUAGUUUUCAGUUCCCUUUGCUUCACUUUGUGUCACAAGUCCCUUGUUACCACCACCACCCUUUACCGGGUGCCCUUCAUGCAUGCCAUGAUGCUAACAUUUAGAGAUGCAUAGACAUUGGCCUGGCACCUCGGUAUGUCCAAAUGAAAGGAGACAUGGGCCGGGCAUGGUGGUACACACCUUUAAUCCCAGCACUCAGGAGGCAAAGGCAGGCAGAUCUCUGAGUUCGAGGCCAGCCUGAUCUACAGAGUGAGUUCCAGGACAGCCAGGGCUACACAGAGAAACUGUGUCUCAAAAAACC